GGAGAUAAAUGACUCUAAUUUUGGGAUGGAUUAUAGCUUCCCAAGUUUUGUGCUUUAAGAGUUGGGAUUGCUGGGAUUGCUGAGGCACAAGUGAAGAACACUAAACUAUAUAUGCUCUCCAUUUGCAAAUAUUUUUGGAUUAUUUUUUGCAAAUGGUUUCUUAAUCUCUAAUUUGAUGUAAUGAUUUUUACCUCUUUCUCCCAUAGUUUGCGCACUUUAUAUUGGUUUAAGUUCACAUCAGUUUACGUUUUACCUUUCUUCUAUUUUUUAAUUUAUUCUUCUGUCCUCCUUGAAAAGAUUUCCAUUCUCAAGACUGUCUUUUUGGGUUUG
rnacentral:misc_RNA from 1 species